UACGUAGGGGGCUAGCGUUGUCCGGAUUUAUUGGGCGUAAAGAGCGUGUAGGCGGCUAUACAGGUCCGCUGUGAAAACUCGAGGCUCAACCUCGAGACGUCGGUGGAAACCGUAUGGCUAGAGUCCGGAAGAGGAGAGUGGAAUUCCUGGUGUAGCGGUGAAAUGCGCAGAUAUCGGGAAGAACACCCGUGGCGAAGGCGGAUCUCUGGGCCUUGCCUGACGCUGAGGCGCGAAAGCUAGGGGAGCGAACAGG
rnacentral:rRNA from 1 species